UACGUAGGGGGCUAGCGUUAUCCGGAAUUACUGGGCGUAAAGGGUGCGUAGGUGGUUUCUUAAGUCAGAGGUGAAAGGCUACGGCUCAACCGUAGUAAGCCUUUGAAACUGGGGAACUUGAGUGCAGGAGAGGAGAGUGGAAUUCCUAGUGUAGCGGUGAAAUGCGUAGAUAUUAGGAGGAACACCAGUGGCGAAGGCGGCCUGCUGGACGAUGACUGACGUUGAGGCUCGAAAGCGUGGGGAGCAAACAGG
rnacentral:rRNA from 1 species